rnacentral:rRNA from 1 species
GUGUAUGGCCCUUAGCAAAAUAAUGAGAAAAUUGAAUUCAUGCAAGAGCUGGUAGAAAUCCGUGAGCUUAUUGCGGGCCCGUGGACAGUCAUGGGAGACUUUAACCUCUUUGUGAACCCGGAGGAUAAGAACAAUGCGCUUGUCAAUAGGACAAUGAUGGCGAGAUUUCGGGUGAAGCUAAAUGCUUUAGAGCUAAAGGAGUUAUACCUAAAUGGCUGGAGAUAUACGUGGUCUAAUGAAAGGACGGAGGUCACUUUGGAGAAGAUUGAUCAUGUCUUUGGUACGACAACAUGGGAAGAGUUAUAUCCAACUUGUCAUCUCACAGCUCUUGGAUCGGCCAUUUCGGACCACUGUUCGUUGCUUUUGGAUCUGACGGUGGACUUGUGCAUGGGGAAGAGAUUCAAGUUUGAAUCAUUUCGGCCGAAAGCACAUGGUUUUCAACAAGUUGUUGAAGAGGCGUGGGCAUCUAUCCCACAUGGUGGAAAUCCUUACGUGACCCUCGACCUGAAAUUGAGGGCGACCGCAAAAAGUCUACAAAAAUGGAGCGACGUGUUGAUACGUACAUUUUGCAUCAUGCAUUUAUAUCGAUAUUUAUUGCAUUUUGGACUGUUAUUUCACUUUAUGUCAUGA